rnacentral:lncRNA from 1 species
GCAGCUAUUCUUUGAUCAUGAUGUCAUCAUUUUCCCAUUGCUAUGUCGUAUUAUCUAGAAUUCAGAUAGGCUUUCUUUUACAUCAAGAAAGACUCUGUGAUCUUUAAGAUUAAAUAGAGUAAAUAGAGUAUCCUUCUAGGAUGGAUAUCAUGUUAUCCAAUAUCCAGGAUCUGAAUACAAAAGAUCACUUUCUUGGCCCAGGAAUGUUAGGAACAUAGUCCCUUGAAACCCUUACUGUCAGCUCUUGCCUUGGAGUUUAAACCUGCAGCUAGGACCAUUCUUAAACUCCUCUCAUAAUAUCCUCUGAAUUCAGGGGCUAUUUCUGAGUGUGUUUUCUUCACAUUGUUCCAGUGGAACCUGGCUAUUCCCUAGGGCAAUGCUUCCUCUGAAGUCCCUCAAUUACUAGUUUUUGUCUCCCUCAAGCCGUGUACCUCUCUGUACUGCCAUUUCUUUCCUAUUCUCCAUCAGAAACACUGCCCUCUUGAAAUGUACAUCAUGACAGUACUGUGUAUUAUCGGUCCUUGUUUUUGUCAUCUGCUGGCUUCCUGUGUUGUCACCUUAUCUCAUGGUUUUAGUUCCCCGAAUUUUCCUGAGGCAUAUGAAGAGGUACUAUUUUUAGCCACUAUAUCCUGAUUAUGUAGAACUGCUCUCUGUGGAAUAAAAAUGUGUGCUUUCUUAGAUGAGAGGAAGAUGUGAAAUCUCAUUUAAUACAAUUAUAGGGAAACACAUAAAGAAACCUGCUUAGAAAAAUGUUAUUUCCCUGGAUUUAGAGGUUUCUUUCAUAGAUGGUGUAUACUAUGUUAUGUCUUACUUGGUAGAAAAUUGAAACCAAAACUUGAUUUAGUUGAGUAAUUGUAUUGUAUGUAAAUUCCGUAAGACUGAAUUUUAUUGCAGGUCUAUAGCUUCAGUGACAGACUUCCUUUUUUAAUUUUUCCAUCCAGUGUAAAUAAAAGGAUGCUCAUAUUAUUAAAUGGUUUUUAGUUACCAGACUGGUUUUAGUCACUUCUAAUAUCAUUAAACUGGAGUCAUAAAACUGUUUUUGCA